GACGUAGGGCGCAAGCGUUGUCCGGAUUUAUUGGGCGUAAAGAGCUCGUAGGCGGCUUGUCGCGUCGACUGUGAAAACCCGCAGCUUAACUGCGGGACUGCAGUCGAUACGGGCAGGCUAGAGUUCGGUAGGGGAGAUCGGAAUUCCUGGUGUAGCGGUGAAAUGCGCAGAUAUCAGGAGGAACACCGGUGGCGAAGGCGGAUCUCUGGGCCGAUACUGACGCUGAGGAGCGAAAGCGUGGGGAGCGAACAGG
rnacentral:rRNA from 1 species